UAUAUAAUCCCCGGUCCGCGCUCCGCCCACCCAUCACAGCAGCCGCGGACGCUGCGCGCCGGAGCGGUCCAUCUCGCCAGCCAGCCAACCAGCCGAGCCGCCCGGCCGACCCGAGAGCCCCGAGAGCCAGACUCCCUCAGCCAUAGAAGACACCGGGCGGGAGAGACGGACUGAAAAAAUAUAUCUUUUUUUAUUUUGUCCGGGCCUGGAGACCCGCAGCAGGAGCGGAGGUGGGUGUGGGGCCGGGAGCCGGAGCAGGACCGGGAACAGGAACAGGAACAGGAACAGGAGUGGGGCCGGGAGCAGGAGCAGGAGCGGGAGCCGAAGUGGGGGCAGGAGCGGCGGCGGCCGCAGCAGCAACAGGGUCGCCCCAGUCCGCGGCGAGGAAGAGGGAGCUCAGUCGUCGUCCUGGGUGAGGUCGAUGAAGAUGGUAGCGGAGCGGGGGGAUCCCGACGAGCUAGACGCCGGAGGCCCGCCCCGGGGGGCGGCGGUCUCGGGGGCAGAGGCAGAGGGCGACGGGCGCCGCAUCGAGGAGGAGGGUGAAGACGAGGGGGAGGAGCGAGCCGAAGCGGCGGUGUUCGCCGACCCCGGGCCGGCCCCGGCCCCCGAGGCACCAUGCUGCGCAGAGGACCCCUCGCCGGACGAUGGCGCCUCCGGAGUCUCGCCCUGGGCCUGUCCGCCCGUCCGGCCGCGCCGCAGGCACCGAGUCCGUCUCUGCGCGCGCCUCAGCACGGCCGCCCGUCGGGCCCUGCGCGGGGAGCGCCUGGGCGCCGGCCUCUGGUCGUCCGCGGACUCGGAGGCCUCCGUCAGAUCCUCCGUGUGCACCCCGCUGCUCGAGGCGCCCGAGUCUUCCUCGUCGGGGGAAGACACCUCAGAGUCAGAGUGCGCCUCGGACUCGGACGUGUCGAUAUAGUUCACACCCUGGUGGCUCAUCGGGGCUCGCUGCAUCCGCCGCAUCCACUGCGCCGAUAUGUCAAACAGCGUAUCGACGAGGGCGUGGGUGUUUGCCCCAAACAUGGGGAGCAUGGCCUCGGUCACGCGCUGGCGGUUCAUCCCGUGCUCCUGGAUAAUCUCGACGAUGUUGUCCACGACGGCCUCGCGGAUGGGGUCGCUCUCGAUGACCGUCGAGACCUGCCCAUAAAGCCAGUUGAAGAUGGGGACUCUGGGGCGGGCGCGAGACCCAGACCCGGAGCCCUGCCCUUCGGCCUCCUCGUGGCGCACCUCCUCGGUAUAGUCUUCACCCCAGAUGACCGCGAAGCCCCCCCCUACCGGCUCAUCCUCUUCCCCGUCGACAUCCGUCGCCCCCUCCACGGGCGUCUCCACAAACGAAGCGUCGCUGUCCACGUGGUGGAGGAUGGAGGUGACGCGGGUCUUGCACAGCGGGCAGGCGGUGCUCGUCAGGGUCCAGCGCUGGAUGCAGUCCAGACAGAACUUGUGCAUGCACGGCAGCGUCUGCGCCUCGGUGGCCGCGACGUCCAGGCAGAUGGGGCAGUCCAUGACGGUGAGUGGCGGUAGCAGGCGCUGCGGCGGUGGCGAGGGGCUUCUGGGGCGGUAGAAGCCAAAGAUCCCCCAGGCGCUGGAAGCCUCGGCGGUGGUCGUCCGUCUCCGAGAGACCGUGCAGCCCAUGGUGUCGAGGGCCCCGUUUUUUAACCGGGUGCCCGGCCCCUUUGUUUGUCUUCGCCCGGGGCGUCCACGCCCCCUUCCGCCCGCCCCGUCGGGGCUCCCCACGCCCCCUCGGGCCGUCCCGGGACGAUGGCCCCGGCGCGCGCCGUCGUGGGAAGCGGGCCCUCCCGCGGUGGGUCGACGGCUCCUGGGUCUGAAAGCGGCGCUACGGAUCCCCCGCUCUCACCCCUGGGUCCGUCGCCGCCCCGCGGUGCGUGCGACGCCCGCGAACCCCCGGCCCACAACACACCGGCACCACCGCCACCAUCAUCAUCCCCCCUCUCCACAGACACGCUCGCACUCGGGCCACACGCUCCCGUCCUCCGCCGCCACCCUCCCAGCCUCCCAGCCUCGCGGGUCCUCGGGACGACCGCCGCUCACCCCGACGGGGGGGGGACGGGGACAGGGAGCGAGGGGGGAGGAGGACGGGGGGGGGAAGAGGGGAACGCGAGCGCGGCGCACCCCGUCGCCGUCCGUGGUGGCGUGCCCGCCACCCCGUCCGUCCAUCCAUCCGUCCAUCCAACCCCCUUCUCCUUUUUCCGCCUCCCGUCCCACGGCACGGCCCCAUCGACGCCACACCGCGCGGUGCGCGCUCUCCAGCCGUCCCAUCCCCCCACACCCCCCACGCUUCCCCCAUUCGCUUCUCAUCCCGUCAGACCUGCGCCAUGGAGUUUCGAGGACGGGCGCGGGGCAACGGUGGUGAGAGGCGAGCCGGGGGGGGGGGGUCGAGUGGGCCUCGCACUUUACGCGCACACGCCCCUCUCGCGCACCACACACCACCGCACAUCGCCGAGGUCGGGCGAGAGAGGGCGCCCUCCCCGCGACCCCGCUCGCCCCGGUCCCGACGCCCUCGCACCCCCACAGCACCCCCUUUCACCCCCCCCCGCUUCUCCCCGCUCUCUCCGCGCGAUCGCACACACAACACCCGCGCGCAUGCUCGGCUUCUUCACACGGAGGACACCAUGGGCAGCAGAUGGUACGGUCAGCCGCCGGCCGCCGUGCGCAUGUGUCGGGCUGUCGCGGCCAAGAGUAUCAGCGUGGCUUUUUUGUUGGUCAGGGUGUGAAAAAGGCACGCUGAUGCGUCCGCCGCUGCAGCGGAGCUCCUCGGCAGCGAGAUCAUCGACCACCACCACCACAUCGCUCUUCUCGCCCGCGCUCCCCCACCGCCCCCCAUCGCGUCGCGAGCGCUCUCACACAUGCUUACAUGCACACGCGCCCCUCCCUCCUCGGCGCCCCCGCGGCGGGACCGUCGCAACCCUCUCCCCCGCCGUCCCACCCGUCCGCGGCCCUCCUCUCCUUUUCCCCCUCCCCUUCCCCUUCCCAUCCCCGUUCCCCCCUGUUCCCCAUUUCCCCGCUCCCUCCACCAUCGACUCUCAUCGACGGGCUUCUCCGCCAUCAUCACCACCAACCACCAAUCACCAUCUCCCGCCGCCGCCCGGACGGCGACCCGCGGUGCUCCCGGGGGCGCGUUCCCACUCACAACCCGGUGGUUUCGAUGGCCGCCCCCGGGGGGUUGAUGGGGAUGGGCGCUCGGGGGUGAUCGUCUGCUACCAAACCGCACCACCGUCCCCCUGUCCCUCAUCCACUUCUCGACGGCCGGCUCCCCGCGGGGCGGGGGCUGCGGGGGGGUGGGUGGGUGAUAGAGCAGGCGGGCGGGUCUGGACGGGCGGAGGGGGGGGGUCCCGGCCCCUCUCCCUCCCCUCUCUUCCCCCCUCCCCUACCCUCUCUCCGUGCCGACUCGACGAGCGGGGGCGAGGCAGGGUGCGUACCGACCCGCCUACCAGGCAGGCUAGAAGCCUCACGCUGCUGCUUGGCAGCGGGUGGGUACCCAACCCCUCCCCUCAGGACGCGACCGACCGGUGUGGAGAGAGAAAGAUGCCCGUCCCCCCUGCCCCCACCAUCCCCGAUUUUUCGGUUCCUCUCCCCGUCGCGCCGUCGGGCCCCUCGUCGCCAGGGGUUUUUUUGGUGGAAGGCCCACCGGGGUGAGGGGGGGGGGGUUGGUGGUGUGUGCGCGACGGAACGGGCCGCAGGAGGAUCGGGGUGUAUGCACGGUCGUCCCCGUCUCAAACUUCCUCGUGUCCCCUGUUCCCCAUCCUUCCACCCAUACAUUCAUCCGUGCGGUGGUGGGGAUGAGUGGAUGGAUGGAGGCGAGGGACGCGGUGGACCAUGCCAGGCAAGACCUGCGUCACUCGAAGAAAGGGUGCCUGGAUUGGCCUUCGCUUCUUUGCCGGCCACGAGCGACGGCCACCACCGCCCCCCCGACGGGCUCUCUUUUCCCCCCUCCCGCUUCUCCUCUUUCCUCUCCGGCGCGUACCCCACCGUUUUCCCGACGAGGUUCGAGACCCCCCCCAAAGCAAAGCGAGAGUACCCCACACCCGCACGCACUCCCCGGUGUCGCUCCUUUUCCCCCCCGGCAGCGCCGGAACCGGGUGCAGGCGGUGGGGGCGAAGAUUGGGUUGGGUGAGAGACUAGAACCGGUGUUCUCAACCCUUCUGGAGCCCUACCCUCUGUGCCUGGACUUUCCAGCGCGCGACACGGGGGGGAGCGGGCACGCGGCGGUGGCGAUGGUGGCGACGGCGGUGGCUGGGCGCGAUCGAGGAGAUGUGGAGGGGUGCCAAGCGCCCGCCGCCCUCCCCCGCAUCUCUUCUCUCUCGCACACGCACACGACCCGCGGAUGGCGAGGAUGUGGGGGGAGAGGUCUCCCGGCGUUAGUGGGUGCUAUUUGAUUCUCCUCUAACCCCCUCUCCCUCGCGGCCCCCUCGACCAUCGUCGUGCAGCGGCGACGGCGGCUCCCACCCCGUCUCUCUCCCCCACACGACCUCGACGCGUCCCGCCACCCCGCCCAGUCACGUCCCACCCCCCGGGGAGAGGGGAGAGGGAUGCACGGGGGUGGGGGUCCCCGCCCCCUCUCUCUGAUCCCAAGACGGUGUUUGUCCCCGUCUCCGGCUCGCACGCACACAUCCCCGCCGGGCGGGCCCCGGCGGGAUGCCCGGCCAGACAAACCGAGGGGGAGGAGAGGGGGAGGAGGAGGAAGUAUAGGCCUCUCGGGGACGGGCGGCGCGUGGCGCCGGAGAGGGGGGUGGCGGGGAAGAGGGAAACCUAGAAGGCGGCCCAUCCCCCGAGAUGACGAGAGCGGAGAGAGGCGCUAAACGGCGCCUGGGGAGUUUGGGGGAGGAGGAGACGGCGCGCGAGGAGCUGGGGGAGGAGGAGGAGGAGGAGGAGGAGACGGCGCGCGAGGAGGAAAAUGGCCGGUCCAACCCUUGGGACGAGAGGUCUCGAAUCUUGACACCAUUUCCCCUCCCCUCCACCCCACUCCCGUCGCGGCUUCGCGCGGGGAGGAAAAUAAUCCGAUCCGACCCCCGGGGCGAGAGGCUCGCGAUCCCACCCCCCCGCUCCCCGGGGGCCGCGAAAAAAGGGGGCGGGGCUUAAAGGGGGGGGGCUAAUUUGCAUAAAUUUGCAUGCAUUUGCAUAGCCCCGCCCCCUCAUUUGCAUAAAUUAGCAUGGCCCCUCCCCCCCAUUUGCAUAAAUUAGCAUGGCCCCUCCCCCAAUUUGCAUGGCCCCACCCCCUCAUUUACAUAACCCCUCCCACUCAUUUGCAUGCAUUUACAUAACCCCUCCCCCUAAUCUGCAUAACCCCUCCCCCUAAUCUGCAUAACCCCUCCCCCUAAUCUGCAUAACCCCUCCCCCUAAUCUGCAUAACCCCUCCCCCUAAUCUGCAUAACCCCUCCCCCUAAUCUGCAUAACCCCUCCCCCUAAUCUGCAUAUGACAACUUCCUCCGGAAGUGACGCUCUGGCCCCUCCCCCCUCAUUUACAUAUGACCGCUUCCCCCGGACGUGACGCCGGGCUCCUCCCACCCCCCCAUUUGCAUAUGACCGCUUCCCGGACGUGACGUUUUUGCCGAUGACGACUUCCGCCUCAUUUGCGUAUGACCGCUUCCCGCGCGCAACUUCCGCCGGACGUGACGCCGGUCCCCACGGAUCUCAUCUGCAUAUCGCGCCGGCCCCUUCCGCUUCCCCCGGACGUGACGCCGGCUUCCGGGGCGCGGACGGGGCGGGCUCCGCGGAUCGCAUCGGCGCGCCGAGCCUGCCCCUUCCGUCGCACCGGGGGUCCGCGGGCGGGGGCUUCCGCUCCGCGGCACCCGCCCCAUUGGCUCCCCUCGCGCCACGCGGUCGCCGUCGUCAUCGUCCCGCCGGCCAAUCGGGUGGCAGCGGGGGAGGCUGGGAGUGGGGACGGAAGACGGAAGCCAGAUGAACCUGUUCCGCCCGCUCUCCCACCGCCUUUCCCGCCCCUCCACGACGACCACCCGGGACCACCACCACCAACAACACCACCACCCCCCCCCCACGCACACACUUUACUACUAUCACCACCAGGGGGCGAUGGUUGCAAUGGCAGUUCCCUGUACUGACCACCACCGUGUUUUUUUCUCUCUCUCUCUCUUUCCUUCCCCCCCCCCCCCUCGACCACCGCAGGACCACCAUCGUCUAACUCCCACCCGGGACCACCGGGACCCUCGGGACCAUCUACCUCCCACCAGGACCCGCCGGGACCACCAACACCGUCCACCUCCCACCACCACCACCAUCAAGGACCCCCAACAUCCCCAAGACCCUCUACUUCUUCCCACCCAGACCCACCAGGAGGAGGACCCCCAUCUGCUGAGACCCACCAGGACCCACCGGGACCCCCAUCUGCUGAGACCCACCACCACCACCACCAAGACCCACCAGGAGGAGGACCCCCAUCCACUUCUUCCCAUCACCACCACCAAGACCCUCCAGGAGGAGGACCCCCAUCACCCCCACCAAGACCCUCCACCUCUUCUUCUUCCUCCCACCAGGGACCCCCAUCCACAAGACCACCUCCGCCCCAGAGACCACCGCCAAGAUGGCCGCCUCCAUCUCCCCAAAAAAUCUCAGAGACUCGAGCUGGUUCAGAAAAUACAGCACAAACUUUAUUUUCUCACUCUGAAAAUAAACUCUUUUCUCACCCGAUGGGAGAAGGAGGAGAAGGGGACCGGGGGACCGCGGGAGGAGGAGGAGGAGGAGAAGGGGACCGGGACGAUCCUCCGCCGCCGAGCCCUCCGCCGCGGCCGCCGCCGCCGCUUCCACCACCGCCGCCACCACCGCCGCCACCACCGCCGCCACCACCGCCGCCACCACCGCCGCCUCCGGCCGGGGGAUCCGCGCGGAGGAGAAGGAGAGGAGGAGGAGGAGGAGGGCCGCCGGGCCGGGGAGGCAAGCGCCGCCGGGCCGAGGGGACCGAGGCCGCCGCCGCGGACGCGGAGGAGGAGGAGGAGGAGGAGGGGGACGAGGACGAGGACCGGGCCGGGGGCGAGGGGAGAGAAGACGGAGGAGAAGGGCCUCGAGGAGCCGGUGGAGGGGCCGGAGAGUCAGAGUCAGAGUCCAGCCGGGCCGAGGGGGCGCCCCGCUCAGCGGAGCAGCAGGUAGGGGUUGCCGGCGUCCUCGGCCUCCUCGUCGUCCGAGAUGGCCUCCACCUUGAUGGGCCCGAGCGGGCCGCGGGGCCGGCCGUCGCCGCCGCGGAAGCCGACGAUCUCCACCGCGGCAGAGUCCUCCCCGUCCUCGCCGGGCCCCCGGGCGCCCGAGGGCCGGUGGGUCUCCACGGCGCCGCCGGCGGCGCGGACGCUGGUCUCGAAGGGCGCAAAGUCCCAGCGCACGGCCGGCGGGGCGCCCGCGGCCGCGAGGGCGCCCGGGGCCAGCACCAGCGGGGCGGCCUCGGCGUCGGGCUCCAGCAGCGCCGCGGCGCAGAAGGCGCGCAGCUCGGCCGGCAGGCCCUCGGGGCCGCGGAGCUCGGCGAGGCCCCGGCGACCGCAGGAGACGAAGACGGGCCGCAGCGGGGCGCCGAGCCCCCAGCGGUUGGCCGCGCGGUGCCCGAAGGCGGCGCCCGCGUCAAAGUCCGGGUCCCCGAGCCCGAGCGCGGAGCGCUGGCGGGCCAUGUCCUUGCAGCCGUCCACGGUGGGGAGCACGCGCUGGCGGUAGGCGCGCGGCGGCAGCGGGACCGGGGUCCGGGGCCCGGCGCGGGUGCUCACCGUGUAGCGCACGUUGUCCUGGCGGCAGAGGCGCAGCGGCUCGGCCCCGGGGUGCAGGCGGGCGAAGGAGGCCUCCACGCGGGCGAAGCAGGCCGGGCCCACGAUGGAGCUCGAGUCCAGGACGGCCGCGCGCAGCUCGCGGCACUCGGGCCAGCGCACGGCGCACUGGGCGGCCGGGUCCAGGCGGGCGCGGACGUAGACGUGGUAGUCCCCCACGGCCGGGCCGUCCGCGGGCCAGUCCUCGAUGGUGUCCAGCACGAUGAGCCGGCGCCGCGCCGCGCCGAGCCGCGAGCAGAGGUACUCGACGGCGCCGGCGAAGCCGAGGUCCCGCGCCGAGAGCAGCAGCACCCCCUGGGCGUUGAGGCGGCCGAUGUCGGGGCGCCCGGUCCAGUUCCCGGCCCAGGCGUGCGAGUCCGGCGUGCAGAGGCGGUGGGCGAAGGCGGCGAGCAGCGCCGAGAGGCCGCCGCGGCGCGGGUCCCAGGCCGGGCGCGGGGCGCCCUCGGCGGGCUCGGCGCAGAGCUCCUCGUGGGGCAGCGGGUCGUAGAGCACCACCACGCGCACGUCCUCGGGGUCGGCUAUCUGCCGCAUCCAGGCGGCGCGGCGGCGGAGCGGGGCGCCCGCGGCCCCGCGGCGCGCGGCGAUGUGCGCCAGGGCGGCCGGGUCGAAGGUGAGCGCCGGGCGCCAGAGUUCGGGGAAGACCUCCUGGUCCACGAGGACGCGGGCCACCUCGGGCGGGCAGUAGGCGGCGAGGGCCGCCUCGGAGGGCCGCGGCGUGUGGGUCUCGCCGGCCGGGACGCGGCGGAAGCCGCCGUCGGGCGCGGGGUGCUCGGGCAUGGGCCCGAGCGGGCGCCGGAGCCGGUCGUCCUCGGAGGAGGAGGAGGAGGAGGACAGCAGCGCGGGAGCGGGGUCCGGAGCGGGCCCGAGUCCGAGGGAGCGGCGCUUGCGCCGGGGCCCCCGGUCCUCUUCGUCGUCGCGGUGGCCGUGGCCGUCCCCGCGGAGGGCCGAGCCGGAGAGCCCCUCGUCCUCCUCGCCGUCCCCGGGGCGGCGGGCCCCGGGCGCGCGGCGCUUCUUCUUGCGCCGCUCGGGCGCUGGGUCCGGGCCGGCGGCGGGGGAGCUGGCGUAGCCGGAGGAGCCGGAGAGGCCGGACUUGGUGCCGGGGCUGCCGGACUUGGUGCCGGAGCUGGACUUGGUGCUGGAGCUGGACUUGGUGCUGGAGCUGGACUUGGUGCUGGCGGGGCUGGAGGGCCCGGAGCCGGGGAGGCCGGAGGGGGCGCCCGCCGCCGCCGGCGCCGGCGCUGGGACGACGAGGCCGGGCUGCUCGGGCCAGAGCGGGGGCAGGCCGGGCGCGGGCUCCGCGGGCCCGGGCCGCGCGGCGGCCUCGGCGAGCCGGGCCGCGGCCACGUUGGCCGGGGCGAAGAGGGCCGCGGCGUAGGUCCAGGCGGCCUCGCGGGCGCGGGCCCCGUCCACGCUGUAGCGCACCAGCGGCGCCACGGUGCGGGCGACGAGGGCGACAGAGUCCGCGGCCUGCUGCCGCUCGGCCGGGCCGGCCCCGGGGAUCGCGUCGCGGAGCGCGAGCAGCGCGGCGGUCACCUCCUCGAGGCAGGCGGGCCCGAGGGCGGCCGGGGCGCGGGCGGGCGCGGGCAGCCGGAGCGGGACGGGCAGCAGGCGCUCGAGGACGCCGCGGCAGGCCAGGACGCAGGCGUCCGCCAGCUCGCGGGGCACGCGGCCGGGCUGCGCGGCGGCGAAGGCGGCGCGGACGCGGGCGCAGAGGGCCUCGACGGUCGCCUCCCCGGCGCGGGGGUCCGCGGCGCGGCCCGGGUAGGCCAUGUCGGCGUAGGCCCGGCGGAGGCUCUGCAGGAUGAAGGUCUUCUGGGUGCGAUCGUAGCGGCGGCUCAUGGCCACGGCGCUCACCGCGUGCGGCAGGGCCCAGAGCGGGUCCUGGGCGGCCAUGGCGUCCCCGAUGUGCGGCAGCGGCGGGGUCACGCUGCCGGUGAUGAAGGAGCCGUGGCCGUGGGGCGCGUGGACCCGGCGCUGGCAGAACUGGUUGAAGCGCUGGUCGGGGGCCUGCAUCCGCGGGUUCUGCAGCCAGGACAUGGCCUCGCCGGCGGCCCCGCUGUAGAUGAGGCGCACGAGGGCCUCGUGCUGCUUCCUCGAGUCCCCCAUCUCCGGGAUGAAGACGGGCACGGGCCCGGCCGCGGCGCGGUAGCGGGCCGCGGCCUGGCGGACGUCGUCCUCGUCCCAGAGCCCCUCGCGGGAGUCCCCGGCGCCGCCGUAGCGGACGCGGCCGUCGGCCGGAGGGUCGGAGCCGGGCCAGGGCUCCCCGAGCGGGGUGAGCAGCGGCCCGUCGGUCGGCGGGGGCCCGUCGGCCAUGAGCGAGAGGUGGUUGUUGGUGGAGCGGCGCUUCCUGCGCGGGGGCCGGGCGGGCUCCGGGGCCGGGGCCGGGGAGGCCGCGGCGGAGGAGGAGGAGGAGGAGGCGGCGGCGGAGGAGGCCGAGGGCCGCGGGGCCGCGGCGGGCGCCGGCGGAGACGGUGGCGGCCCGGCGCGGGCGAGUGGGGCGCCGGCCCGGACUCCUUCGUCUUCUUCUCCCUCGGAGGAGGACGAGGACGAGGAGGACGAGGAGGACGAGGACGAGGAGGAGGCCGAGCGCCGCGCGGCGGCGGCGGCGGAGGCCCGGGGGGCGGAGGGCGAGCGGGCCGGGGAGAGGUCCGAGUCGCUGCCGCUGCUGCUGGAGCUGCUGAAGCCGCGGCCGCGGCGGAGGGCGCCCUCUCCGGCGCGGCGCCGGCGGGGCUGUCUCUGCGGGGGCGCCCCGCCGUCCCCGGCGAGGCCGAGUCCGUCCUCGUCCUUCUCGGGGCCGCGGGCGACGGGCUCGACGGCGACGGUGGUGGAGGAGCUGGAGUUGGAGUUGGAGUUGGAGGAGACGGGGCUCCGGGCGCCAAGCGGCCGAGGAUCGAGCCGCCUCGCGGCGGCGGGCUCGUCGAGCAGGGGCUCGCGGUGCUGGUGAUGGUGACGACCGCGGUCCCCUCCGGCGGAGGGGGCGCCGCCGCCGCCGAGCGCCGAGACCGGCCCGGCGGCGGGGGAGGCUGGGGAAGCGGGCCCCCGCCGUGCCGGCGCUGCGGCCACCGCUGCUGGCUGUGCUGGUGGCGCCGGGGUCCGAGGCCGCGCCGCCGGCCCGGGCUCACCGACCGGGUCCCCCCUCGCGGGGGACCAUCUCCGCGGGGCUGCCGAGGGGCCGGGGGAGCCGGAGGAGGAGGCCGGGGAGGCUGCGGAGGGGGACGGGCGCCCGGGGCCGCCGGGGGCCCCGGCCUCUGCCGCUGCGAGUGCUGCCGGGGUCGGCGGCCGGGGCCCGGAGCCGGCCCGGGACCGGGGCCCGAGGACGAGGUGACCGUGCUCGGAGCCCUGAUGGAGAGCCCGACCGGGGGACCCGGCGGCCGGGGACCCGGGCUCGUCCUCCUCCUCGUCUUCGUCGUCUAGCACCACGAUCUCGCCCGAGCCCCGGCGGGGCUGCUGCUGCUGCUGCUGGGCCGAAGGAGGACGGGGCGGCCUCGUGGCUCCGGCCGCGGCCGCGAGGACGGCGGCCUCGGCCUCGGCCUCGCCGGCAUCGUCGGAGAAGAGGCCGCCGGGGCCAAAGAGGAGAUCCUCGCCGGAGGGGCCGCGGCGCCGGGAGCCCUGGCUGCCGCCGUCGGAGCCGGCCGCGGUCCCCUCUUCCUCGGCCGCCGCGGCCGCGGCCGCCGCCGCCAGGAGCUGGCUGAAGUUGCCCUCGGUCUCGAUGAAGUCAAAGAGAUCGUCGGCCAUGGUCUCGAUCGGUUCUCGGGGUGUCUCUCUCUCUCGCGCGCCGGGAGCCGAGCUCGGAGAGCGGGUGCUGGAGGGUGAGAGGGAGCCGGAGGAGCGGGCGCGGCAGAAGAAGAAGAAGGAGAGGGCGAAGAAGGAGAAGAAGAAGAGGGCUCUCCUCUCUCUUCCCCCCGGUGGGUCGGGCCGUCCGUCGAGGGCUGAUAGCCGCCGGAGAGCCGGAGUCUUCAGAGUCCGCGCCGGAGCCGAGACGAUCGGAUCCCCUCGGGUUGGCAGAGAACGAUGCUGUCCGUACCUGCACCGCAGUGAAGUGCUACGAUGGAGACCGUGCCUAUAAACUCCCCGAGAAGAGCCCGCCCCCAGGUAAGCGGACCAAUGGCCGAUUUUCGCCGCGGACUUCCCCGACGGCCGGCCAAUGGGAUUUUUCUCGCCCGCUUCCUCUCGCGUCUGCUUUGCAUGCCCGGCCCAAGAUGGCGGCCGCCGGCCAAUGGGAUUUCGCGAGGAACUUCCUCGCGAGGACCAUUUGCAUGCCCGGCCCCCGCGGCGGCCAUCUUGCCCACUCGACGGCCAAUGGGAUUUCUCUCGCCCGCUUCCUCUCGCGUCUACUUUGCAUGUCCGUCCCCCGCGGCGGCCAUCUUGGUCGACGGCGGCCAAUGGGAUUUCUCUCGCCCGCUUCCUCUCGCGUCUACUUUGCAUGCCCGGCCCCGAGGGCGCCAUCUUGGCCCCUCGACGGCCAAUGGGAUUUCUCUCCCUACUUCCUCUCGCGUCUACUUUGCAUGCCCGGCCCCCGCGGCGGCCAUCUCGGCUCGCCCGGGCCAAUGGGCGCGCGGAGGCGUCUCCCGCGCGCCUCUGAUUUGCAUGCCCGGCCCGCUCUGCGGCCAUCUUGGCCGCGGGCGGCCAAUGAGAUUGUCCGAAAAUCCCUCGCGCGGGCGCGAGGCGCAUGCUCGGCACGCGACCCACCCCCGUGGUGCUAGCGAGCCAAUCAGAUGAUUUUCGGGGAAGCUUCCGUGUGCACGUCAUUUGCAUGCUCGCCCCACGUGGCCGCCCUCGGCCAAUGGGGCCUCACGGUGCAAGCUUCCGUGUGUCUGCACGUGGUCCGCAUGUGUUGUGGUGGUCUCUCAGUGUUUUGUGGUGGUCUCUGUGUUGUGUGGUGGUCUCUCAGUGUUUUGUGGUGGUCUCUGUGUUGUGUGGUGGUCUCUGUGUUGUGUGGUGGUCUCACCGCCUCCCCCUGCCACUCGCGAGACCCCCGAGACCCCCGUUUCCCCCUCCCCGAGACCCUUGAGGCCCCCCGCGACCCCCGCGGUCGCCCCACCCGCGCCUGCGCGCUCGGCGCGCGCUCCGAGGGCGCCCCCAGCCGGUCGGAGAGACGAGCGGAACCGCCGUCGGACCGGGGACCGGCGACCGGACCCGAACCGGGAAGCGACGCCGGGGCGGGAGAACCGGACCCGAACCUCGAGCCCGGACCCGCCCGGACCCGGAAGGGAGGAGCCGGACAGCCACGCCUUGGAUACUUUUGUCGCCCACCCACCCCCCCUCUACCUCUCUCUCCCGGUCCCCCCUCCCACCCCGCGAGACACGCCCCAGAGUGAAAAAAAUAAAAGUUGUUCUCGUUGCACCGUC
rnacentral:misc_RNA from 1 species